rnacentral:rRNA from 1 species
AUUGAACGCUGGCGGCAGGCUUAACACAUGCAAGUCGAACGGUAGCAGGAGAAAGGUUGCUUUCUUGCUGACGAGUGGCGGACGGGUGAGUAAUGCUUGGGAAUCUGGCUUAUGGAGGGGGAUAACGACGGGAAACUGUCGCUAAUACCGCGUAUUAUCGGAAGAUGAAAGUGCGGGACUGAGAGGCCGCAUGCCAUAGGAUGAGCCCAAGUGGGAUUAGGUAGUUGGUGGGGUAAAGGCCUACCAAGCCUGCGAUCUCUAGCUGGUCUGAGAGGAUGACCAGCCACACUGGAACUGAGACACGGUCCAGACUCCUACGGGAGGCAGCAGUGGGGAAUAUUGCGCAAUGGGGGGAACCCUGACGCAGCCAUGCCGCGUGAAUGAAGAAGGCCUUAGGGUUGUAAAGUUCUUUCGGUAUUGAGGAAGGUUGAUGUGUUAAUAGCACAUCAAAUUGACGUUAAAUACAGAAGAAGCACCGGCUAACUCCGUGCCAGCAGCCGCGGUAAUACGGAGGGUGCGAGCGUUAAUCGGAAUAACUGGGCGUAAAGGGCACGCAGGCGGUUAUUUAAGUGAGGUGUGAAAGCCCCGGGCUUAACCUGGGAAUUGCAUUUCAGGCUGGGUAACUAGAGUACUUUAGGGAGGGGUAGAAUUCCACGUGUAGCGGUGAAAUGCGUAGAGAUGUGGAGGAAUACCGAAGGCGAAGGCAGCCCCUUGGGAAUGUACUGACGCUCAUGUGCGAAAGCGUGGGGAGCAAACAGGAUUAUAUACCCUGGUAGUCCAAGGGCGAUUUCCACAUUGGGCUGCAGCCCGGGGGAUCCACUAGUUCUAGAGCGGCCGCACCGCGUGAGCUCCAAUUCGCCCUAUAGUGAGUCGUAUUACGCGCGCUCACUGGCCGCCGUUGUUCAAUUUC